rnacentral:rRNA from 1 species
GCCUACGGGGGGCAGCAGUAGGGAAUCUUCCACAAUGGGCGAAAGCCUGAUGGAGCAACGCCGCGUGGGUGAAGAAGGUCUUCGGAUCGUAAAACCCUGUUGUUAGAGAAGAAAGUGCGUGAGAGUAACUGUUCACGUUUCGACGGUAUCUAACCAGAAAGCCACGGCUAACCACGUGCCAGCAGCCGCGGUAAUACGUAGGUGGCAAGCGUUAUCCGGAUUUAUUGGGCGUAAAGGGAACGCAGGCGGUCUUUUAAGUCUGAUGUGAAAGCCUUCGGCUUAACCGGAGUAGUGCAUUGGAAACU